GCGGAUGUGGUGGAAUGGUAGACACGCCAGCUUGAGGGGCUGGUGGCCGUAUAGGUCGUGGAGGUUCAAGUCCUCUCAUCCGCACCA
rnacentral:tRNA from 1 species